ACGGCGCUCGAAGCGCGUCGUGGUAUUUCGCGUAUUGUAAUUUCAACACGAGCGGGGUCAAAUCCUUUGCAGACGACUUAGCUGUGCGAAACGGUCCUGUAAGCAGUAGAGUAGCCUUGUUGUUACGAUCUGCUGAGGGUAAGCCGUCCUUCGCCUCGAUUUCCCCAAUGGGUUCUCCGGAUUUCUGGAGACUUGUAGGGGUUGUGGGCUUUUUUCGAUGUGUCGUCUCUGGACGGGCGGUGCAGGGUAGUCGAGUUGGACUUGGUGGAAUUUCAUUCCGUCGAGUCUGGCGGGACUUUGUGCGGCUGUGUGCUGGACGGUGCAGGGUAGGCUGCUUGGUCUUGGUCGAUUUGAGGAUCGAUUCGAGGGCUGGGCGCUGGUAGCUUGAGGUGUAUGCGGUCUAGGGUAGGCUGGUUUGUCGGUCGAAUUUGAUGUUGGCUUCCGUGCGGACCAGAUCGAGCGUGGUACAGGUUAGGUACAGGGUAGGCGGCUUAGACUUGGUCGAUCUGGAUGUCGGUUCUCUGGCUGACGGAUCUCAGAGCUUUGGAACGAGAUGGGAGUGGUGCAGGGUAGGCAACUUCUGUCUUUGCCAGGAUGCGAUUCGCGUUGAGAUGUGCGGUCUAGGUUAGGUACAG
rnacentral:rRNA from 1 species